CGGAGUUGUUCGGCUGUUGUUGUUGGUCGGAGUUCCAGCGUCAGUUUGGGAAAGCCAUUUGAUAUUGCCGGUUGCAGCUAUGGAGUCGUUGACUCUUGAUUCGCCGGCUUUGAAGCUCAUAGCUCACUGGAGCUGGUUUGUGGCUGCCAGAAAAGAGAACAGAGGCAAUAUUUGGGGUCUGUUGUUGUUUUCUCUGUUUGAAGCUUGAUGUAUGAAAGGUCUGUUCGUGGUUCCCUGUUUGUCUUUCCCAGUGAGCUUGAGCUCGAUUCGAGGGAGAAAGGAGUGGAGGGAGAAGGGUGUUGUUUCCGGUGCCUGUUUUGCCGGAA
rnacentral:lncRNA from 1 species